UACAGAGGUCCCGAGCGUUGUUCGGAUUCACUGGGCGUAAAGGGUGCGCAGGCGGCCGAGUGUGUGAGGCGUGAAAGCCCGGGGCUUAACCCCGGAAUUGCACCUCAAACUACACGGCUAGAGCAUUGGAGAGGGUAGCAGAAUUCACGGUGUAGCAGUGAAAUGCGUAGAUAUCGUGAGGAAUACCAGAGGCGAAGGCGGCUACCUGGACAAUUGCUGACGCUCAGGCACGAAAGCGUGGGGAGCAAAAGGG
rnacentral:rRNA from 1 species